rnacentral:rRNA from 1 species
UACGUAGGGUGCAAGCGUUAAUCGGAAUUACUGGGCGUAAAGCGUGCGCAGGCGGUCUUGCAAGACAGAUGUGAAAUCCCCGGGCUUAACCUGGGAACUGCAUUUGUGACUGCAAGGCUGGAGUGCGGCAGAGGGGGAUGGAAUUCCGCGUGUAGCAGUGAAAUGCGUAGAUAUGCGGAGGAACACCGAUGGCGAAGGCAGCCUUCUGGGCCAACACUGACGCUCAUGCACGAAAGCGUGGGGAGCAAACAGG